GAUGCUCUAAGAAUAUUUCAAGUAAAAAAAACUGCAACUAUAACUACUGAGAAUCUACAAGACUCAGUUCCAAUCAAUUAAAAGAGCAGAUCAACAAAGCAAGAGAGAUAACACAAAGCCAUACAAAUUUCUUUCUUUGAGACCCUGAGAAGAUGUCUUCACCGCAAAGCUCAACUUCAUCAUCCUCCCCUCCGUCUUCCCUCCCCAACGGCGUCACCGCUGGAGCAAACAACCCUAACCGUGAAGAGCCUACGGUGACGUCGACCCAACAACCCAACUCCGACGCCACCACUGGAGCAAACAACCCUAACCGUGAAGAGCCUGCGGUGACGUCGACCCGACAACCCAACCCCGUUGCUGUUCCGUCGCCCCACCGUUGCCACGACCCAAAUGCUGAAGUGGUAGCGUUACGUCCAAGGACUUUCUUAGCGGCGGGCAUAUGCGAAUUGUGCGGCAAAGAAUUUACACAAGAACAGAUUCGAGAUUUUAACAGGUGAGAACCCCACAAUCCAUAAAGGAGAUAAAAGUGAGGAGAAGUGGAAAUGCGAGUAAUGCUUGUCUGCAACAUAAAUCUAUCUCUAAGACUUGUUAUACCAUCUUUUCUAUUUAAACUAUGUAUUGUCUUUUUAACAUUUGCACCCAAAAAAAAACUAUUGUGUUUCUUAUUUUCUUUCAAUAAUGUUUGUUUCCUUUGAUAAUUUUCGUUUUCAAUGAUGUUGUUCGUAUUAUUGAUCAUAUCAAAUGAUAGUACAUUAAAACUAUAGUGUGACAAGUAAUUUCAAGCCCAGAAAAAAAUAUAAUUUUUUGGGUUCACGUAGAAGAAGAGGGCGAGAAACAUUUAGAUGAUGUGACAAGUAACCUCGGUUCCUUUUCGAGAACAAGAACAACCACCAUCCCCAUUAUCAAUAGAUUCAAUACUAUUUGUAGCAAGUAAUCUCGGUCAUUUUGGAAUGUGAGUGACGUUUCAACGCUUAUUCGACGUUUAAGUUAGAUUAAGAGACCAAGUGAGCUGAACAAAAAAAAAAGGGACCAAGUGAUUGGUCGGACCGUCGGAGAACCAAAUAUCAUGGAGACAAAAUAAAUAUGUUAACUUGUUUUAGAUGAUGUAUAACUUAACUAACAAUGGGCUUUUACAUUUAGACAUAUCCUACUCAUACCAUAUCAGAUUAAUAUACUGUUAAUGAAUAAGCUAAUAUCUUCAAUUUGAUAUUUUCAAUGGACAAAUCAUACUCUUUUGUUAUCUUAAUGUAACGAUAAGAAAAUAAUAAUGAUCAUCCCAUUGAAGAACAGCAGAUCCCAUGCUACGCUCUCUCUUGAGCUGCUCCUUAAACAACAGCAUUUUUAACUCUUCUUGCUCUGAUAUCGCUCUUAGUAAAUUGAAUCUGUAAAAUUCCAAUAUGACCGAGAUUAAUAUGGAAUUCAAUCUAAGAAAUAAAUACUAUACGCGUGAUAUUAUAUUUAUUUAAUAAAUGUACGUAUACACACACUAGUGCAUGAUAAUUUGUUAAUUAUGCUCCAUCAGUUUCUUGAAUAUGUAUGUUUUAAGAUUUUAUUUUGUUUCACAAAGUUGAAUUUAUUCAAUUUUCUAUGCAUGUUUCAUUUCCUAAUUGACUCAAACCAAUUAGUUUCAACAGAAUAUAAAUCUUAGUUAAAAUAACAAAAAAAUUUAAUUAUAGAUUGAAGUUAAAUCUGGCACUGCAAAUGAUUGUGUAAAACCCACAAAACACAAAAAAUAUAUAGAAACGAAACUUCUCGAGAAGAUCGGCCUUACUUUGAUCGCUGGAUUCUUCUUAUCCAGUACAAUCCCAUCUUUUAAUAGUUGACCACUGAUUCAAUGACUAUGACUCUAUGAGGAAGGGCUAAAAGGUACAACAACUAAUUACCAUAGCAACAACCAUGAAAGAAUUUUGUUUUUAUCGAUGGGAUAAAAUAAACAUAAAUGUCAUAAUUUAAAUUUCUUUCUGGUUUUGUUUUGAUUAAUAGCUGACCAAUGAGUCAAUGCCCAUGAGGAAGGGCUAGAAGAAACGUAUAACAUUUUUUUUCUUUUAAGAAAAUUAGGGAAAGUAAAAACUGCAGCUAUCUGUAUACUGAGAAUCUACAAGUCUCAUUUCCAAUUAUUAAAAGAGCAGAGUAACAAAGCAAGAAAGAAAAACAAAGCCAUACAAUUAUUUUUCUUUGAGGUAUUACUAUAUGCAUAUGUUUAUAUUUGUCAAUGUUUGGUCUCUUUUUUCUGGUUAGUAUUGUCUUUGUAGUUAUAUAUAUUUUCUUCUUUUCCUAUCUCUAAUCUCUAUGGUUACUUCAUGUUCUUCUUAUUAUUUGCUUCGAUUUUCUUCUAAAUCAUAUUCCAUUUUUAUAUUCUCUUUCAUUUUCAAAGUAUUUUAUUCUUGGAUCUUUGUUGUUUAAGCAAAAAAACAAACCCUGAAAAGAUGUCUUCAUCGCACAACAACUCAACUUCAUCAUCCUCCACUCAGUCUUCCCUCCCCGCCGGCGCCGCCACCAGAGCAAACAACUUGAACCGCAAGAGACGGCGAUGACGUCGACCCAACAACCCAACUCCAUCCGUUGGUGGAUGAGUACUGAGUACAUAUGUGAAGUGUGCGGCAAAAAAAUUAAAAGAGAACAGACUCGAGAUCUUCACAUGAGAGGACACAACCUUCCAUUUACAUUACCUCGUCGUCGAAACUGAUAAGAAGUGGAAAUGCGAGUAAUGCUAUAAGCGUUAUGAUGUUCAAUCUAUAUCUCCAAAAAGCUAUCUCUAAGACUUGUUAUACCAUCUUUAUAAACUAUGUAUCGUCUUUCUUGGUUUCUUUCAAUAAUAUUUGUACCAUCUUUCUCGAUGUGAAUGAUCUUUAAAUUUACUAAACUUCAUAAGAUCUUAAACCAAUAUUCAUAAGACCUUAAUGUUCAAAAAAUAUCUUAAACCAAUAUUUUAUUAGCUUUUAUAUAGGAGUAUCGGUUCAUCUAAAAAAAAUGUUAAUAAAUAUUAUAAAUAUAAUUUGUGUUGAUAUGUAACUUAUUUUAUACAACAAGUCAGACACUUAAUCAGCUAAAUUGUAUUUAGACUAAAAAGUUUAUUUAUAAAAAGAUAAUUGGAAAAUAAAAAAGAAGUCUAAAAUAAAAUUGAGUAAAUUUAUAAGUUUUAGGGAUUAUAAUGUACUAUGGUUUAAAAUUUGGAGUAUUUGGUAGAUAUAAUAAUAAGGUGUAAGAUACUUUAAUAAUUCUCACAAAUAUGCAUGACCGAUAAUAGUCGUAAUAAAACCUGUAAGCACAAGUUUUGAGCUUUUAUCUUCGAUUAGAGACAAAUCGUUUUCAGUAAUGUUUGUAUCGAUCUCGGUCUCUUGUUCUAGCAAUCUUCAGAAAGAGAUGCGAACAUGUCAGAGAGAUCAGAAAACUAAUGAAACUCGCUUCAGGUUAUCAAACACGCGAAAAAGCAGUUAAUUUGACUUUGUUGACAUGUUGUCCGAAGUUAGCCCAUUUACAUUUAUCCUCUUUUUAAUUCUAAUUGGGUAUUUAAAUUUUCUCUCUGAUUUAGUAUGUAGCUGACCAAUGUGACCAUGAGGAAGCUACAACUAACUAGCUAGCAACAACCAUGGGAAAAACAAUUAUAGAAACGUCUGAGAAUAUUAUUUUAAAAGAAAAUUAGGGAAAGUAAAAAACUGCUGCUAUAUAUAUUGAGAAUCUACAAGACUCAGUUCCAAUCAUUAAAAGAGCAGAGUACCAAAGCAGUAGAGAAUAACAAAGCCAUACAAGUAUUUUCUUUGAACAAAAAACAGACCGUGAUCGAUCGCGAAGAUGUCUUCAUCACCCCGCGACAGCUCAGUUUCAUCAUCCUCCACUCCGUCUUCCACCACCGGAUCAAACAACCCUAACCGUGAAGAGCCGGCGGUGACGUCGACCCAACAACCCAACUCCGUUGCUCUUCCGUUGAACCACAUUUGCCACGACCCAAAUGCUGAAGUGGUAGCGUUACGUCCAAGGACGUUCUUAGAGGCGGGCAAAUGUAUAUUGUGCGGCAAAGAAUUUACACAAGAACAGAUUCGAGACAUAUAGCUGAGGAGAGAGGUCGAAAAUGCGAGUAAUGCUAUUAAGCGUUACGAUGUUCAAUCUCUCUGCAAAAAGCUAUCUCAUAAGACUUAUGAUACCAUCUUUUUCUAUUUAAACUAAUGUCUUCUUGGUCUCUUUCAAUAUCUAUACCGUCUUUCUCGAUGUGACUGUCGUACCAUCUUUCUAUAAUAACUAAUGUUUCCACUUUCUUGGUUCCAUUCAAUAAUAUAACAUCAAAUGAGAAUGCAUUAAAA